rnacentral:lncRNA from 1 species
ACAUAAUUUUGCAGGCCAAAACAGAUACUCCUCCAAUUACUCACUCCACUCAAGGAGGAGUUAAAACAACUAAUCAUUGACUUUCGCGAUAAAUCACGCCUCUCGCGUCUUGCCUUCCUAAAAUUUGCCAAACUUAGGUUUCCUAAGUCCCAACGACCUAAUGCUAAGUCUGAUACCAACUUAAUCUGUCACGCCCCGGAUUACACGUUCCCCGGGCACGCCGACAAAUCCGCCGUACACAAAGAAAUUUUUCUAUAUACGAAGCGUAGCUGUACCUGUAAUAAAUAUAAUACUACAACC